UUCAAGUUGCUUUCAUUCGAGUUUUUGAGGUCUACCAUGAUGACCUAUUCUUUUUAGGCAACUUUUGGACAAGCUUAUGUUGUGUAACUCUCUACUGUGGUUCAUCCAUGGUGGCUUAUAUGAAGGUCACAUUUAAAGAUAGAGGCUAGGGAAAUUCUUCCAUUCCUUCCCCUCGCUCUAUUCCUUCUAUAGACAACAUCGCUUGAGCCUUAGGUUAGUGGCGUCUCUUACAUCUAAAAUCAGACAAAACUCAAUAGCAUCACUCUCUGGAGAGGCAGCAUUCACUUGAGUGUGAUGCCUUUUCUUCUGAGCAUGAACUGUUAACUUCCACUGCGAAGAGGUUUCUUACCAGAAAAGAAAGUGACAGCAGCUGAGUACCUCACUGUCAGGCCUGGAGCACAUGCCUGCUUAUUCUCCCCAAGGACCAAACCCAGCAUCUUGUCGCCACACUCUGGUGCCUCACAGGAAACCAAUCUAAGUUCCAUAACAACCAGCGAAGGAGAGAGGAACAGAACAAUUGGUGAGAAGAGAGGGUCGCAGUAUGGAAACAUUGAUGGAUCCCAAAACAGGAAUGGAUCAUUAAUAUUUCC
rnacentral:lncRNA from 1 species